rnacentral:rRNA from 1 species
AGAGUUUGAUCCUGGCUCAGGAUGAACGCUAGCUACAGGCUUAACACAUGCAAGUCGAGGGGCAUCAGUUUGGUUUGCUUGCAACCAAAGCUGGCGACCGGCGCACGGGUGAGUAACACGUAUCCAACCUGCCUCAUACUCGGGGAUAGCCUUUCGAAAGAAAGAUUAAUAUCCGAUAGCAUAUAUUUCCCGCAUGGGUUUUAUAUUAAAGAAAUUCGGUAUGAGAUGGGGAUGCGUUCCAUUAGUUUGUUGGCGGGGUAACGGCCCACCAAGACUACGAUGGAUAGGGGUUCUGAGAGGAAGGUCCCCCCACAUUGGAACUGAGACACGGUCCAAACUCCUACGGGAGCAGCA